rnacentral:rRNA from 1 species
UGGGGAAUCUUCCGCAAUGGACGAAAGUCUGACGGAGCAACGCCGCGUGAGUGAAGACGGCCUUCGGGUUGUAAAGCUCUGUGAUCCGGGACGAAAGAGCCUGAGGUGAAUAGCCUAAGGAAGUGACGGUACCGGAAAAGCAAGCCACGGCUAACUACGUGCCAGCAGCCGCGGUAAUACGUAGGUGGCAAGCGUUGUCCGGAAUUAUUGGGCGUAAAGCGCGCGCAGGCGGCUUCCUAAGUCCAUCUUAAAGGUGCGGGGCUUAACCCCGUGAUGGGAUGGAAACUGGGAAGCUGGAGUAUCGGAGAGGAAAGUGGAAUUCCUAGUGUAGCGGUGAAAUGCGUAGAGAUUAGGAAGAACACCGGUGGCGAAGGCGACUUUCUGGACGAAAACUGACGCUGAGGCGCGAAAGCGUGGGGAGCAAACAGG